rnacentral:rRNA from 1 species
AUGGACGAAGGAAGAAAUUUAGCAACACUUUUCCCGCAGGAUCUCUUGCAAGAAGAAAAUAAUCUCCAAAUUCGACUUGUCAAUUUUAUUUCUCCUGAAAAUAGCAAGUUAACUCAAAGAAUUUAUCACACAAACAGUCAAUUUGUUAGGACUUGCUUAGUAGUGAAUUGGGAACACGAAGAAAAAGAAAAGGAUGGUGCUUCCCUUGUUGAGGUAAGAGCAAAUGAUCUUAUUUGCGAGUUCCUAAGAAUUGAGUUAGUCAAGUCCACUAUUUCGUAUACACGAAAAAGGUAUGAUAGGACAAGUGCAGGACCGAUUCCCCGUAAUAGGUUAGAUCGCGCUAAUAUCAAUUCUUUUUAUUCCAAGGCGAAGAUUGAAUCACUUAGCCAACAUCCAGAAGAUAUUGGCACUUUGUUGAAUCAAAAUAAGGAAUACCACUCUUUGAUGAUUUUGUCGGCAUCCAACUGUUCUUGA